CCUACGGGUGGCAGCAGUGAGGAAUCUUGCACAAUGGGGGAAACCCUGAUGCAGCGACGCCGCGUGAGGGAAGAAGGUUCUCGGGAUUGUAAACCCCUUUCGUAGGGGAGAAAAUGACGCUACGUGUGGAAGAAGAGCCAGCUAACUACGGGCCAGCAGCCGCGGUAAUACGAAGGGGGCAAGCGUUAUCCGGAUUUAGGGGGUGUAAAGGGAGCGUAGGCGGGAGUGUAAGUCGGGAGUGAAAGGCGGGGGCUCAACCCCCGGACUGCGCUGGAAACUGUGAGGCUUGAGUGAAGGAAGGGAAACCGGAAUUCCUGGUGUAGCGGUGAAAUGCGUAGAUAUCAGGAGGAACACCAGUGGCGAAGGCGGGUUACUGGACUGUAACUGACGCUGAGGCUCGAAAGCGUGGGGAGCAAACAGGAUUAGAUACCCGAGUAGUC
rnacentral:rRNA from 1 species